ensembl:ncRNA H32K16.3 ncRNA
AAUUAAGCUUCGUCUCUUGCGAAAUACUGCAAUUACAUCAGUUUUCGGUAGGCAUGUAGUAGGCAUUGCCUGUUAGGCUAGAAGAAAUUGGAAGUAACGAAAGUAGGC